UCUCGGCUUAUCACCGGCAGUCCCCCUAGAGUGCCCAACUGAAUGAUGGCAACUAAUGACAAGGGUUGCGCUCGUUGCGGGACUUAACCCAACAUCUCACGACACGAGCUGACGACAGCCAUGCAGCACCUGUGCGCCGGUUCUCUUUCGAGCACUCCCGCAUCUCUGCAGGAUUCCGACCAUGUCAAGGGUAGGUAAGGUUUUUCGCGUUGCAUCGAAUUAAUCCACAUCAUCCACCGCUUGUGCGGGUCCCCGUCAAUUCCUUUGAGUUUUAAUCUUGCGACCGUACUCCCCAGGCGGUCUACUUCACGCGUUAGCUGCGUUACCAAGUCAAUUAAGACCCGACAACUAGUAGACAUCGUUUAGGGCGUGGACUAC
rnacentral:misc_RNA from 1 species